rnacentral:lncRNA from 1 species
GUUAAUCUUUCUCUCCCCUUUUAGUAUAUGUAAUUUAUAGGAAUUUGUACAAAUCGGUUUGUAAUUCUUAUUGCUUCUUAAUCUCUAUUUGUUAGUGGAUUCCCUCUAGUGCUAGACUAGAGUUUCUUUAACUAUUGGUAAAGGAGACAUAACUAAAAGUGGGUUUUGACAUGAGAUUAAAGAUUAAAAAGGGUCCAAUGCCCUAAUUAGCAAUGAAUGAUUGUCUUUCAUUUCUAAUGGCUCAAUGAAAAUGGUUUUAAUUGGAUUGAUAAGCACGUAAUUAAAUUGACACAAUCUCCCCGAGUUUAUAUUCAACAAUGAUGGCUCGUUGUUGCAAUAACCUAAUAAGUCCAUGGUCAUCCAAGAGCCUAAGAUAACUAUAAAGUCCAAUUUCAAAGGAAUGCAAAAACCUUAGUAGUAGUAGUUACUUCCAAUAUUUGAAAAAUUCGUUUUUGAUAUUGAUUUGUUUUUCUCAAAACAAAUAGUGGGAGUAUCAUACGCUACUAAACAAUAAUGAAUACAAUUAGUAGUUAUAUAUAUCUCCAAUAUUUUGAAAAAUGUUUUGAUAUUGAUUUGUUUUAUGAAAACGAAUAGUGGGGAUAUCAUAUGCUACUAAUUUCAUUAACUUUGGACUAGUAGUUAUAAUAGGACAAUUUAUUUGAUUGUGAUUAAAUAAAUAAAAUGAUGAGACCUUAAAAAUCCCUCAAACAACAAUCAUAUUAAGUUGUAAACGUAAGAGUGCUUAGAACACUUUUUCGUGGCCUUCCACCGUGGUAGGCUCCAAGCGUUUAUGACUUGUACACCGC